GCGGAUGGCCGGGCGGCCGCGGGGGUCAAAACCCCCGAGGAAAGUCCGGACUCCAUGAGAUAACGGUGCCGGGUAACGCCCGGCCGGGGCAACCCGAGGGAAAGCGCCACAGAGAAGAGACCGCCCGCGCCCCAGGGUGCGGGCAAGGGUGAAACGGUGGGGUAAGAGCCCACCGCGGGACGGGCAACCGGAACGGCACGGCAAGCCCCACCGGGAGCGAUGACGAAUAGGGGCCUCGCGCGGGCAUGAUCGGCCUCGGUCGAUAUCGCCGCAGGGACGUCUCAGC
rnacentral:RNase_P_RNA from 1 species